rnacentral:rRNA from 1 species
GACGAACGCUGGCGGCGUGCCUAACACAUGCAAGUCGAACGGAGAUGCCAAGCGGGUAACUGCGAGGCAUCUUAGUGGCGGACGGGUGAGUAACGCGUGGGCAACCUGCCUUUCACAGGGGGAUAACACAGGGAAACCUGUGCUAAUACCGCAUAAUAUCAAUACAGGGCAUCCUGUAAUGAUCAAAGGAGUGAAAUCCGGUGAAAGAUGGGCCCGCGUCCGAUUAGCUGGUUGGCGGUGUAACGGACCACCAAGGCGACGAUCGGUAGCCGAACUGAGAGGUUGAUCGGCCACAUUGGGACUGAGACACGGCCCAGACUCCUACGGGAGGCAGCAGUGGGAAUAUUGCGCAAUGGGGGAAACCCUGACGCAGCAACGCCGCGUGGAAGGAAGAAGGUUUUCGGAUCGUAAACUUCUUUGAUGAGGGACGAAUAAAUGACGGUACCUACAAAAACAAGCCAACGGCUAACUACGUGCCAGCAGCCGAGGUAAAAAGCGUAC